rnacentral:rRNA from 1 species
GAUGAACGCUGGCGGCAUGCCUAACACAUGCAAGUCGAACGGACCUUUAUUUUUGAGAGUUCCUUUAUAGAAGUUCUCAAAAAUACUGGUUAGUGGCGGACGGGUGAGUAACACGUUGGUACCUACCCCUUAGUGGGGAAUAACUUCGAGAAAUCGAGGCUAAUACCGCAUAAUAUCUACGGAUUAAAGCAUUUAUGCGCUAAGGGAGGGGCCUGCGUCUGAUUAGCUAGUUGGUGGGGUAAAGGCCUACCAAGGCGACGAUCAGUAGCUGGUCUGAGAGGACGAUCAGCCACACUGGGACUGAGACACGGCCCAGACUCCUACGGGAGGCAGCAGUGGGGAAUUUUGGACAAUGGGCGAAAGCCUGAUCCAGCAAUGCCGCGUGUGUGAAGAAGGCCUUCGGGUUGUAAAGCACUUUUGUCCGGAAAGAAAUGGCUCUGGUUAAUACCUGGGGUCGAUGACGGUACCGGAAGAAUAAGGACCGGCUAACUACGUGCCAGCCGCCGCCGUAA